rnacentral:rRNA from 1 species
GACGAACCGUGCGAACGUUAUUCGGAAUCACUGGGCUUAAAGCGCGUGUAGGCGGGAGGGCACGUCCGACGUUGAAAGCCCCCGGCUCAACCGGGGAACGGGCGCGGAUACGACCUUCCUGGAGGGACGUAGGGGGACCUGGAACUUCCGGUGGAGCGGUGAAAUGCGUUGAGAUCGGAAGGAACGCUCGUGGCGAAAGCGAGGUCCUGGACGUUUUCUGACGCUGAGACGCGAAAGCCAGGGGAGCGAACGGG